rnacentral:rRNA from 1 species
UACGUAGGUGGCAAGCGUUGUCCGGAUUUACUGGGCGUAAAGAGCGCGCAGGCGGUCGUUCAAGUCGAGUGUGAAAGCCCCCGGCUCAACGUGGGAGGUCAUUCGAUACUGAUCGACUGGAAGGCAGGAGAGGGAAGCGGAAUUCCCGGUGUAGUGGUGAAAUGCGUAGAUAUCGGGAGGAACACCAGUGGCGAAGGCGGCUUCCUGGCCUGUUCUUGACGCUGAGGCGCGAAAGCUAGGGGAGCAAACGGG